GUUCAUCCUGAUUUAGACUGUAAGCAGAUUGCAUCAUGGCGUGGAUACCAGGAGAGGAACAUCUGAGGCUGCGCAAUAUCUAAGGAAAAGAGGUUUAUUUGGCUCACUGCUCUGUGGGCUGUACAAGAAGCAUGGCACCAGCAUCUGCUCCUGGUGAGAGGCUCAGGCUGCUUCCACUCAUGGCAGAAGCUUGCUCUGGCUAACAACCACUAUCAUCAAAGUUGUCUGAGGAAGACCUCCUGUUGCUGUGACUGACGGGACUCUUGGUGGAAGCCCUAUUCCCAUGUGCC